rnacentral:rRNA from 1 species
UACGAGUGCCCCCGAGCGUUAUCCGGAAUUAUUGGGCGUAAAGGGUGUGUAGGCGGUCUUGUUAGUCUUUUGUUAAAGCUCCCGGCUUAACCCGGGAAAAUGCAAAAGAAACGGCAAGACUAGAGGGUGCAAGGGGCUUAUGGAACUCAUGGUGUAGGGGUGAAAUCCGUUAAUAUCAUGGGGAACACCGAAGGCGAAGGCAGUAAGCUGGUGCACACCUGACGCUG